UACGGAAGGCAGCAGCGGGGAAUAUUGCACAAUGGGCGAAAGCCUGAUGCAGCUAUGCCGCGUGUAUGAAGAAGGCCUUAGGGUUGUAAAGUACUUUCAUCGGGGAGGAAAAACAAAACUAAUAAUUUUAUUUCUUGACGUUACCCGAAAAAGAAGCACCGGCUAACUCCGUGCCAGCAGCCGCGGUAAUACGGAGGGUGCUAGCGUUAAUCAGAAUUACUGGGCGUAAAGAGCACGUAGGUGGUUUUUUUAAGUCAGAUGUGAAAUCCCUGGGCUUAACCUAGGAACUGCAUUUUGAAACUGAAAUACUAGAGUAUCGUAGAGGGAGGUAGAAUUCUAGGUGUAGCGGUGAAAUGCGUAGAUAUCUGGAGGAAUACCUGUGGCGAAAGCGGCCUCCUAAACGAAUACUGACACUGAGGGUGCGAAAGCGUGGGGAGCAAACGAGGGAUUAGAUACC
rnacentral:rRNA from 1 species